GCGUUCGUGGUCUAAUGGUUAGCAUGGAUGCUUUGCAAGCACUCGACGGAGUUGGAUUCUGCACGAUCGCA